rfam:Harpegnathos saltator strain R22 G/1 HarSal_1.0_3.contig4651, whole genome shotgun sequence.
GCAGUCGUGGCCGAGUGGUUAAGGCGUCUGACUAAAAAUCAGAUUCCCUCUGGGAGCUUAGGUUCGAGUCCUACCGACUGCG